GACAGAGGAUGCAAGCGUUAUCCGGAAUGAUUGGGCGUAAAGCGUCUGUAGGUGGCUUUUUAAGUCCGCCGUCAAAUCCCAGGGCUCAACCCUGGACAGGCGGUGGAAACUACCAAGCUGGAGUACUGUAGGGGCAGAGGGAAUUUCCGGUGUAGCGGUGAAAUGCGUAGAUAUCGGAAGGAACACCUGUGGCGAAAGCGGCUCACUGGACCAUUACUGACGCUGAUGCACGAAAGCUAGGGGAGCAAACAGG
rnacentral:rRNA from 1 species